CCUACGGGAGGCAGCAGUAGGGAAUUUUCGUCAAUGGGCGCAAGCCUGAACGAGCAAUGCCGCGUGAACGAGGAAGGUCUUCGGAUCGUAAAGUUCUGUUGAAGGGGAAAAAGAGCGGAGAGAGGAAAUGGUCUCCGAUUGAUAUUACCCUUCGAGGAAGUCACGGCUAACUACGUGCCAGCAGCCGCGGUAAUCCGUAGGUGGCGAGCGUUAUCCGGAAUGAUUGGGCGUAAAGGGUGCGUAGGCGGCCUGCUAAGUCUGGAGUGAAAGGUACCGGCUCAACCGGUACAGGCUCUGGAAACUGGCGGGCUAGAGAGCAGGAGAGGGCGGUGGAACUCCAUGUGUAGCGGUAAAAUGCGUAGAUAUAUGGAAGAACACCAGUGGCGAAGGCGGUCGCCUGGCCUGUUACUGACGCUGAGGCACGAAAGCGUGGGGAGCAAAUAGGAUUAGAUACCCGAGUAGUC
rnacentral:rRNA from 1 species